rnacentral:rRNA from 1 species
UACGUAGGGUCCGAGCGUUGUCCGGAAUUAUUGGGCGUAAAGAGCUCGUAGGCGGUCUGUUGCGUCGGCUGUGAAAACCCGGGGCUCAACUCCGGGCCUGCAGUCGAUACGGGCAGACUAGAGUUCGGUAGGGGAGACUGGAAUUCCUGGUGUAGCGGUGAAAUGCGCAGAUAUCAGGAAGAACACCCGUGGCGAAGGCGGCUCUCUGGUACGUGACUGACGCUGAGACGCGAAAGCGUGGGGAGCAAACAGG